rnacentral:rRNA from 1 species
GUCUACAGCCAUGCCACCCUGAACAUGCCCUAUCUCAUCUGAUCUUGGAAGCUAAGCAGAGUCGGGCCUGGUUAGUAUUUGGAUGGGAGACCACCUAAGAAUACCAGGUUCUGUAGGUG